UACGUAGGUGGCGAGCGUUGUCCGGAUUUACUGGGCGUAAAGGGCUUGUAGGCGGUCCGUUAAGUCCGAUGUGAAAUCUCCCGGCUCAACUGGGAGAGGUCAUUGGAUACUGGCGGACUAGAGGGGGGUAGAGGAAGGCGGAAUUCCCGGUGUAGCGGUGGAAUGCGUAGAUAUCGGGAAGAACACCAGUGGCGAAGGCGUUCUGCUGGGCCGUUGCUGACACUGAGGCGCGACAGCGUGGGGAGCAAACAGG
rnacentral:rRNA from 1 species